CAGUAGCCGCGGUAAUACGAACCGUGCGAACGUUAUUCGGAAUUACUGGGCUUAAAGCGCGUGUAGGCGGGCCGCCACGUCGGUUGCUGAAAUCCCCCGGCUCAACCGGGGAAGUGGCAUCGAUACGAGCGGCCUUGAGGGGGGUAGGGGGAUCUGGAAUUUCCGGUGGAGCGGUGAAAUGCGUUGAGAUCGGAAGGAACGCCCGUGGCGAAAGCGAGGUCCUGGACCCUUUCUGACGCUGAGACGCGAAAGCCAGGGGAGCGAACGGGAUUAGAUACCCGAGUAGUCCCUGUCUCUUAUA
rnacentral:rRNA from 1 species